AGACGGAGGGUGCAAGCGUUAAGCGGAAUUACUGGGCGUAAAGCGCUCGUAGGCGGCCUGUUAAGUCGGAUGUGAAAGCCCCGGGCUCAACCUGGGAACUGCAUUCGAAACUGGCAGGCUAGAGUAUAGUAGAGGCAAGUGGAAUUCCGGGUGUAGCGGUGAAAUGCGUAGAUAUCCGGAGGAACAUCAGUGGCGAAGGCGACUUGCUGGACUAAUACUGACGCUGUGGAGCGAAAGCGUGGGGAGCAAACGGGAUUAGAAACCCCAGUAGUCC
rnacentral:rRNA from 1 species